rnacentral:rRNA from 1 species
UACGGAGGGGGCUAGCGUUGUUCGGAAUUACUGGGCGUAAAGGGCUCGUAGGCGGCCAACUAAGUCAGACGUGAAAUCCCUCAGCUUAACUGGGGAACUGCGUCUGAUACUGGAUGGCUUGGAUUCGGGAGAGGAAUGCGGAAUUCCGGGUGUAGCGGUGAAAUGCGUAGAUAUCUGGAGGAACGCCGGCGGCGAAAGCGACUCUCUGGUCUGUAACUGACGCUGAGGUGCGAAAGCAUGGGGAGCGAACAGG